GCGCCAGUAGCUCAGUUGGAUAGAGCAACUGCCUUCUAAGCAGUAGGUCAGGGGUUCGAAUCCCUUCUGGCGUGCCA
rnacentral:tRNA from 1 species